rnacentral:tRNA from 1 species
CAAAGAAAGUUUAGUUCAGAAUCUUA